GAUGUGGUUGAUAAAACUAUGUCAAUUGGAAUGAGAACGAUUGAAAAGAUUUAACGAGAAACAAGAAGAGGGCAAGUCUGGUGCCAGCAGCCGCGGUAAUACCAGCUCUUCUAGCAUAUAUUAAAGUUGCUGCAGUUAAAACGCUCGUAGUUUGAAUUAUUUCGGCACUUGGCGGUUGGACGAUUUAAUUUGUCCGGCAGUCAGGGAGCCGAAUUAAAGCUCGGGGUGGAGGCGAUUAAUUUCUCUUCAUCCAGAUAACCUUGAAAAAAUAUUGUCGCUCAAAAAAGGACGGAAAAGUCUAUUGAGAUUUCAGCAUGGGAUUAUGGAAAAAGGGGAGGGGGUUGCGAGAGGGGGUAAAAGCCCGAUUGGCCCUCUUCCAAUGGUUAAUGAGGACGAUGCGUGGGAGUUCAUAUUAAAGUGUCAGAGGUGAAAUUCUUGGAUUACUUUAAGAUGAACAUCAGCGAAGGCGUUCUUCAAGUGCGUGCCUGUCGAUCAAGAACGAAAGUUGGGGGAUCGAAGACGAUCAGAUACCGUCGUAGUCUCAACCUUAAACUAUGCCGACUAUGAAUAGGAUAUCGUUUUAAGAACAGUGUCAAAAGCUGUUCUGAUGACUUCUCCUGCGCAUUAAAAGAAAUUAAGAGUUUUUGGGUUCCGGGGGGAGUAUAGUCGCAAGGCCGAAACUUAAAGGAAUUGACGGAAGGGCACCACCAGGUGUGGAGCCUGCGGCUUAAUUUGACCCAACACGGGGAAACUUACCAGGUCCAGACAGCGUGAGGAUUGACAGAUUGAUAGCUCUUUCAUGAUUCGUUGGGUGGUGGUGCAUGGCCGUUCUUAGUUGGUGGUGUGAGUUGUCUGGUUGAUUCCGUUAACGAACGAGACCUUUGUUGUAUAAUACGAGGCGCUAGUUUUUGCGUCAAGGGCGGAGCGUCCUUCUUGAGAUACGAGCAAUCGCCUUGGGAAAAGAUGUUUCGCUUGCAUAGCUAGCGCCAGUUUCGUUCUAUACAAGACAAAUACAGAAAAUGUAUUGGAAGUUAUAGGCAAAAACAGGUCUGUGAUGCCCUUCGAUGUUCUGGGCUGCACGCGCGCUACAAUGACAAUAUCAGCGAGUUUUUUUUCAGCUUGGGCGAAAGCUCUGGCAAAUCUUCGAAAUGUUGUCGUACUAUGGAUUGUUGAUUGCAACUAUUCGACAUAAAACAGGAAUACCUAGUAGACGUGCUUCAUCAGAGUACGUCGAUUACGUCCCUGCCCUUUGUACACACCGCCCGUCGCUCCUACCGAUUGGAACAUACGGUGGAAAUCUCGGAG
rnacentral:rRNA from 1 species